ensembl:lncRNA
UAUCAGUACAUCUGAUGAUUAUUUUCUUUUUAUUUGGUGCAUAAAAUGUAAAAUAAAUACACAUUUUUCGGUCUAGCAGUUAAACACCCCAAAUAUUAAUUUAUUAUUACAGAUUUCAGAGAAGCAAAGCUGGUGGGUCCGUGUACGGAUCUGGUAAUUGGAUUUUCCGUUCUGAAACGGGUAUUGAAAAACAAAAAACGAGUGGUUAUUUGAUUUUCGUUUUAAAAUACAAAAAUUAAAAUUGACAUACAAGGUGUUUUUCCUUUUCAUGAUCAAAAAGAGAUAGAGGAUUUUUUUUAAAUGAUUUGAUUUUCGUUUUAUAUUUAGAAUAACAAGAAAGUAAAAUCAGUAAGAGCCAGAAACGAAAAAAGGUCCGUUUUUUUCAUUUUCUGAGACCGGAAGUGGUCAUCAGCAAGCAGCCAAACAGAGUACGGUGUAUAGACUGUACAUACAUUUUUUUUCGUGAGUUUUCAUGGUCAAAAUGAGAGAUCAGGUGGUCGAUCUUAAAAUAAAUCAAUAUUGAUUUUUUUAUAGAGCGUUAAAGUUUUGUGAAGCCAGGGGGCGGGACUACUUGAUUGAAAGUCCGGUCCGGAAUGAUUGACAGGUCCUAUGGAGGAGGCAGCAGAGUCUCUGCUCUCCUCGUUUGGAUUAAUUCUGAUAUAAUAACUGUUGGUUUAUUUAUCGGUGGAGCAGCAGAACAUUUUCCACAGACAGUUUUCCUGCCCGUUGGCUUGUUUUAACCAGUUUUCUACCUUCGGCUGAUUCUACCAGCAGACACUGAAAGGACUCUGAUAGGUGGAAACUCCAGAAACUCGGGAAAACCUGUGGAAACUCGAAGAACUCGUGGAGACUCGAAAAACUCGUCGGGCGGGGGAAGGUGUGGUGGG